rnacentral:rRNA from 1 species
CCAAGGCUUGACAUGUGCCAGACCGCUCCAGAGAUGGGGUUUCCCUUCGGGGCUGGUUCACAGGUGGUGCAUGGUUGUCGUCAGCUCGUGUCGUGAGAUGUUGGGUUAAGUCCCGCAACGAGCGCAACCCUCGUUCCAUGUUGCCAGCACGUAGUGGUGGGGACUCAUGGGAGACUGCCGGGGUCAACUCGGAGGAAGGUGGGGAUGACGUCAAAUCAUCAUGCCCCUUAUGUCUUGGGCUUCACGCAUGCUACAAUGGCCGGUACAAUGGGUUGCGAUACUGUGAGGUGGAGCUAAUCCCUAAAAGCCGGUCUCAGUUCGGAUUGGGGUCUGCAACUCGACCCCAUGAAGUCGGAGUCGCUAGUAAUCGCAGAUCAGCAACGCUGCGGUGAAUACGUUCCCGGGCCUUGUACACACCGCCCGUCAAGUCACGAAAGUUGGUAACACCCGAAGCCGAUGGCCUAACCACCUUGUGUGGGGGGAGUCGUCGAAGGUGGGACUGGCGAUUGGGACUAAGUCGUAACAAGGUAGCCGUACCGGAAGGUGCGGCUGGAUCACCUCCUUUCUAAGGAG